rnacentral:rRNA from 1 species
CAGCCGCCGCGGUAAUACGUAGGUGGCAAGCGUUGUCCGGAAUUACUGGGCGUAAAGGGCUCGCAGGCGGUUUCUUAAGUCUGAUGUGAAAGCCCCCGGCUCAACCGGGGAGGGUCAUUGGAAACUGGGAAACUCGAGUGCAGAAGAGGAGAGUGGAAUUCCACGUGUAGCGGUGAAAUGCGUAGAGAUGUGGAGGAACACCAGUGGCGAAGGCGACUCUCUGGUCUGUAACUGACGCUGAGGAGCGAAAGCGUGGGGAGCGAACAGGAUUAGAUACCUGCGUAGUCCCUGUCUCUUAUAC